rnacentral:tRNA from 1 species
AACUAAUAAGCUUUAAGAAGCAUGUGUUUUGAAAGCACAAGAUAAAGAAACCUUUAUUAGUUU